rnacentral:lncRNA from 1 species
AUGUUCCUGGAGCUUUGGCUCUUUUCUAGGAUCCACAAAGAAGAGAGGUUUUUACAGUUUUAUCUAUAUAUGAGAGGUCUCUUUUGUAGGUUCAGGGUGGAUGAGGAAUCAGAACCUGUGGUGCAGCUGAAUGACAUGAGGAUGAGAAGUAUCAACCUAGCAACCCAGGAAGAAUGGUCCCCAGGCCCUGGGAUGUCACUGCGAUUAGGCUCUCAGACCGUGGUAGAGAAAAGCCUGAAGGGAGGGGGCAGCUCCAUUAGGUAAUCCCUCACUACUUACCUGCUCAAGCCAUAGUCAACAGGACCUUUCAAAAGAUCAAGUUAGCCCUAAAAGGUCCGAUGAGUCACAUUCUGAGCAGAAAAAUCUGGCAUUGAGGCAUAAUUAACAUUCUGGGUUGCCCCCAGUUUCUAUGGAGAUGAGUCUAGCCCCUCGGGGGAGGAGUGAUGGAUGUGUAAUCUCCAAGAUAAGUAACUGACAGGUAAGAAAUUUUCCUUUCUCAAAUGCAUUAAUUAUUCACAUUCAUUAUUCAUCAAACACUGUGAGUUUCCAUUUAGAAAUUGGACCAAAUAGAGGAAUUCUCCCCUGUCCACCCCUCAUAAUCAAAUUCUUCUAGGGACUGCUAAGCAUUUGAGUAGAUCCACUGUUUGGUCUAGUUUAAUGGCAAGUGUUUGUCUGCUGUUACUGGGAGAUGGAAUGAAGAUUAAACACCUUGUUGACUACAAUAGCACAGACCUUUGGCAGGUUUCAACUUUGCCAACCCCUGAUAUUUUCUUAUUAUCAUUCUUUCUUUUAGAACAUUAGCUUGGCAAGAACCCAGGCCUUACCUGUCUUGUUCACUACUGUAUUCCCAGCCCCUAGAAAGAAGAUAUAGACACUUGAUAAAUGUUUAUGAAAUAAGAGAAUGAAUGGAAGAGAUUUGGGUCUGGGGAUGGCAGAACCCAUCAGAGGAAAUGCACAUAUGAGCGAUCCGGCCCUAGUUCCUUGAGGGAUUGCUGUCUACAUACUCCUCUCCCCUGCUAGAUGAUGACAUACACUGAGACACAGAGAGAAGGCAGCUGGAGCAAGACCCUUAGCCCAUUCCAGGAUAGGGACCCUUUGGCACAUCCUUUAACGUUUUUUAUUGCAAACAUUGCCUUUUAAUCGAUUUAUUUGAACCUAGAUCUGUUCUUUGCCUGAAGUGUAUCCCAGAACUGUGAUCAGUCAGGAACUGUGGAUUGCCUCAACAGGCCAAGCUGUGAAACACCAGAGUGCCUAGUCCCAGAAUCCAGCAUCGGUUCAAGGUUUACAAAAAAUAAAUUUGUCCAAUUUAAAGGUCGAUUUGUCCAAUGACCAAUUUCCCAAAAACAUGUUCUCUGUGAUCAACUUACAAAGUAGAUAGCUGUUGGUGUACAAUGGGAGGCUUUCAAAAGCUCUUGAGUUUUUCAGUGGUGUCUUUUUGUUUCAUAUUACUGUUAGUUUCAUCUGAGCUGUGUCUCUAUGGCAGGUCAAGGUUUCUUGCUUUGUAGAUUUUCUUCUCACUGGAUCUGUGACUUUUGGGGCAUGAGGAUUUUUUUCAUGUAUUCUAAUCAGACAUUUUGCGUGUCUUAAAUGUUAAAAAUAGUAUAAAUCACAGGGCAGGUGUCUGCUAACACAUUCUAAAUCCACUUUACUGCCUAAAUACUUGUUGACUGAUUCAAACAAGUGAAUAUAUUGUUUGGUUUUGAGCAUUAGAGAAACUUUGGAGUCUGAAUUAUUAUUUUUUUUAAAGAUUUUUAUUUAUUUGACAGAGAUAGAGAUAGCCAGCGAGAGAGGGAACACAAGCAGGGGGAGUGGGAGAGGAAGAAGCAGGCUCAUAGUGGAGGAGCCUGAUGUGGGGCUCGAUCCCAUAACGCUGGGAUCCCGCCCUGAGCCGAAGGCAGACGCUUAACCGCUGUGCCACCCAGGUGCCCCUGGAGUCUGAAUUAUUAAACACACAAGAAACUGAUGUUCAGUCCCCCUGAACUGAAAAGGCCAUGUGACUGAGGGGAAACAGAUUCAGGAAAGCUAAAACUAAUUGUGCUUCUCAAUAGUACAUCCUUUCAUUCAUUAAUUAAUUCAACAUGUAUUGAGUCCCUUUUUAGUGUUGUGCCUUAUUCUAGGGACUUGGAAUAAAAGAAAAAUAAGAUAAGAUUCCUACUUUAGAGACUACUCUGCUAUUUUGAAGUCCCCUGGUAAGAUGUAAGGCCCAUUUUGUUGAAUUCAUUUAACCUUUUUUUUUUCUUUUCAGUUUAGUGGUCAUUCUUUUAGCCUGUUUCACUAUCUACUCUGACAAGUAUAACUAACGUCUCUUAAACGUACUAGAGUUGAUCUUCAUGGCCCACCUUAAUUCUUGUGAAAAUGUCUGUUCUCAUCUUACAAAGGCUGCCUGUGUGGUUUAAGACUGCAGUUUCAUCCCCGCAGCCUCUUCCUGCCCUCGAUUGCCCUGGCAGCCCUGUCCCUACAGGGACCACGUGAAUCUGAAGACUGCUGUUGAAGUCAUGCCCUUCCUCCGGAAGCUCGAACUCUGCAUCUGUGAAGUGAGCUGAUGGAGACUAACUCACAGUGUUGUUGCAAGUAAAAUGGAGCUAAGAGUACUUUGUAAGCAACAAAGCACUAAUGUGAGAGAUUAUAAUAGAUUAGAGCAAGUCAGUUCUAAUGCACACAUAAGGAAAAUGCUGUGGGAACACAGAGAAGAGGCAAUUAGGGAGAUUAGCAAAGUUUUGCAAAGCUGGUAUGGUGAACUCGGCCUUGAGAUUAAGAGAUCUUUAGGUGAAGCAGAACAUUGCAGAAAGGAAAAAAAAAAAAGCAGCUGAACAAAAUCUCAGAGGCACCAAAAAGUUCUAUAUGUUUGGCAAAAAAUGAACAAGAGUGAUUGUAGAGUAGGGGGGAUGUCAUAGAUGUUGAUAAAUUAGGUACAAGUCAGUUCCUGAAGAGUCCGUAUGUCAUAUUAAAGAGUUUGAGCUUUAUUUACAGAGCCACUGAAAAGUUUUUGGGUUUUUUUUCAAGAUUUUGUUUAUUUAUUUGAGAGAAAGAGAGGGAGAGAGAGAGAAGCUGUGCCAGCAGGGGGAGGAGCAAAGGGGGAGCCUCCGGAUGCAGGGGCUCAAUCUCACCACCCCAAGAUCAUGACCAAGCCAAAAUAAAGUCGGAUGCUUAACCUGUUGAGCCACCCAGGUGCCCUGAAAAGUUUCUUUCUACAAAUAAUUUCUUGUGUGAGCCAAUCUGUGCCAAGCACUGUUGUAAGCACUUGUGAUUUAUCAGAAGACUAAUAAAAAGAUCAUCCAUGCACCUGAUUUAAGAAAUAGUUUAAGAGAUGACGGAUCCCAUGUGAAACUCUGUGUUUGCCUCCUCAGUAGAAUCCUAAUUCUCUAAGAGUAACUCAAACUCUAAAUUUGGUGUUUAUCAUGCCCAUGUUUUUCAUUACAGUUUUACUCAUCUGUGGGGCUCAAUGAAUAUUUGCUGGAUAGAGAAAUGAAAACACAUGUCCCCAUGCGGGUGGUCUCCGGUGCCCUUUCUCACAGGUGUUUCUCCCAUUUCUGCUGCCAUCCAUUAUCAUUCCACAUUCUUAACGUGUCUGUCACUCUCAGGUUUCUUGAUUUACAUGCGGGUGUGAGUCUUUAUCAAAUAGUUGUGCUUGUUAUCAAAACAACUUUAUACAGAUUACUCUCCGAAUCCCAUUCAACACAGCAAUGGUUUAUAAUUUCUACCUCUUCUUCCCAUCUUUAUCCAUGUUAAGUGGAGUUAUAAUGUAGAC